ensembl:snoRNA SNORA63 Small nucleolar RNA SNORA63
AGGUAGGAUUUAGUUACACUUUAGCUGUGAAUUGCUGCUUUGUCAUUGUUACCUCCUAAGAAGAAAACUGUGACCUUCCAGAACCUGUCUGCAGUGUGUACUAGCACCAGGGAUGUUUGGUUUCAGAAAU